UGCGUAGGCGGACUAAUAAGUCAGUGGUGAAAUCUUUCGGCUCAACCGAGAAACUGCCAUUGAUACUGUUAGUCUUGAGUUCGGUUGAGGUAGGCGGAAUGUGUAAUGUAGCGGUGAAAUGCUUAGAUAUUACACAGAACACCAAUUGCGUAGGCAGCUUACUAGACCGACACUGACGCUGAGGCACGAAAGCGUGGGUAGCGAACAGGAUUAGAUACCCUGGUAGUCC
rnacentral:rRNA from 1 species